UUUUCUCUCAGCCGUACUAGAAUUGAGUGCGUGGUAGGAUUUCAGUGUACACUGAUUAAGCUUUGUGAUAUGUGUUUUUUGCUGUGGUCUUCUUCUUUAAAGUGUCUCUCAGUGAGUGUCCCUUUCUCGCGUGGUCUGAAAAACCAGCGGGUGGCCAGCAUCAGCAUGAAUUCCCUGGGUAUCACUCUUCCAACACCCUGCCCAUGGACAACACCAUGGCCAUGAAAAGACGGGCACCCAUGCCCCCCAUGGCAGGCUCCCAAAGCGCCCCUGCUAACCUCAACGUCCAGCCGUUGACCUCUAAGAAGAAGAGGAGAGCCCCCCCCCCCCCCCCCCCACCAUCAUCCUCCUGUGUUAACACCCACAACGGAUCACCCCUGAGAUCAAAGGUCAGUCAUUUUGAAUCACUAGUUGACUUGACAUGUGAAUGAACUCUCAGUGUUGUAAUAUUGAGUUAGAUCAGGAA
ensembl:lncRNA